AACGAACGCUGGCGGCAUGCCUAACACAUGCAAGUCGAACGAGAGCUUCGGGUCUAGUGGCGCACGGGUGCGUAACGCGUGGGAACCUGCCUUUAGGUUCGGAAUAACUCCCCGAAAGGGGUGCUAAUACCGAAUAAUGUCUUCGGACCAAAGAUUUAUCGCCUUUAGAUGGGCCCGCGUUGGAUUAGCUAGUUGGUGGGGUAAAGGCUCACCAAGGCGACGAUCCAUAGCUGGUCUGAGAGGAUGAUCAGCCACACUGGGACUGAGACACGGCCCAGACUCCUACGGGAGGCAGCAGUGGGGAAUAUUGGACAAUGGGCGAAAGCCUGAUCCAGCAAUGCCGCGUGAGUGAUGAAGGCCUUAGGGUUGUAAAGCUCUUUUACCCGGGAUGAUAAUGACAGUACCGGGAGAAUAAGCUCCGGCUAACUCCGUGCCAGCAGCCGCGGUAAUACGGAGGGAGCUAGCGUUGUUCGGAAUUACUGGGCGUAAAGCGCGCGUAGGCGGCUAUUCAAGUCAGGGGUGAAAUCCCGGGGCUCAACCCCGGAACUGCCCUUGACACUGGGUGGCUAGAAUCCUGGAGAGGCGAUUGGAAUUCCCAGGUUAGAGGUGAAAUUCGUACAUAUUCGGAAGACACCAGUGGCCAAGGCGACUCGUGGGACAGGUAUUGAUCCUUAGGGGCAAAACCGGUGGGAUCCAACGGGACUAGAUACCCGGGGUAUGCCCGCCGUCAUCAAUUAUG
rnacentral:rRNA from 1 species